UUGCUUAUGCAAAGAGGAAUCUACAAAGGUAAUAAUUUCAACUCACUUUGUUUUGAGUAGAUAAUUGGUUCAUCAAUCUACUAGGCUUUGAAUUUCAUGGUAAUGUUUUGUUUUUGAGUGCAUGCAAGCAUGAUUCCGCCUUUAAUUGUUAAUUGCAUGCUAUAUGAUGUUGCUCAAAUGAACAUGUUUUUCAAAAUAAAUCCUUCAGAAUGGAUAUCACAUGCAUGGAGCAAGGUGGAUAGACGAAAUUGAAGACUAAAGAGACUAGGAAUGUUUUAAAAAGAAAGAAGAAUUAAUUUAAAAAGGACAAAGAGCUCAGCAACCAAAGAAGAAACAUGAGUCAAGAUUACCUUAUUUUGAUUUAACCUUUCUUAAUCCUAAUCCAACUAAGUUCUAGCCACAAGGAGGGUUCCCCAAAGAUAUUAGGACACUAAAUAAAGGAUUCUAGAAGCCUUAAUCUUAGCCACAAAGGGGUGUCACUCCACCUUUCACCUUCCAUGCCGUGCACAUUCCUUGUCCCUUCCAUUGAUCCAGAUUUCAUGCACCAUUGCACUCACUUUCCCUUCCAUGCUAUGCCAUCAUCAUUGUCCCAUCCAUUGAUCCAUAUUUCAUGCACCAUUUCACCUCUCUUUCCUUUCCCAUGCCGUGCAUCAUCAUCCACGUUCCCUCUUCGCACUCAUUUGCUGCACCAUUCCAUUUCCUUUCCUUUGUUUACCAUGUGCACAAUAUUCUUGUCCACUCCUUGCACUCAUUGAUGCACCACUCCUUCACCUUUCCACCCAUGCCGUGCAUCAUCAUCAUUGUCCCAUUCAUGCACUCAUUUCAUGCACCAUUUCAUCGAAUCAUUGCUGCACCAUUCCUUGUUCCCUUCAUCAUAUCAGAUUUCAUGCAUCAUUUCAUCAUUUUAACCACCACUCCAUGCACUCAUUGCUACACCAUCACUCCACCUUAAUCCUUCAUGCCGUGCAUCAUCAGUCCACUUUCACCCUUGUAUCAUUUCUGCACCAUUUCACCUCCAUUUCCUUUCUCUACCAUGUGCACAAUCAUUCAUGUCCCCUACAUGCACUCAUCACUGCACCAUCCCUCAACUUUCACCCUCUAUGCCGUGCAUCAUUAACCUCCCAUCCUUGCAUGUUGGAAAUAUGCCCUGAAAGUCAAUCUUUGGAAGAAACCUUUCAGGACAAAUGAAUUGAUGUAUGGAUGAUUCUUAUACAUCAAAUGGCAAAGACACGAAUUAGGACUAUCUCAAUAAAAGAUAUAUGUCCUAAAUAGUGUAUCCAUGGACAGUGGAUUGAUUGAAGAAGUAAUCUAAUGAUGUUAGACUACAGAGACCUUCUUCACAUAACCAAAUGUCCAAAAGGUUCCUGGUCGUUGGAUUGUCGGAAGGAUACUGACAAUGCGUAGACCGGUACAUACUAUGUCUGCUUCAAUUGGAAGGAUGGAAAGUCUCAUCCCAUUCGUGUUGUGACACUAAGACAAGUAUGUAGGUGCUCAUUAGGGGAAUGAGUUCACUGAACACAAUCGAACGAGAGUACUUGUAUGGAGGUCUACUCACAUGUCAAGCAAGUAACUCUAAUGGUUGGAAAGAUGUAAGUAAUCCUUAGACCUGAGG
rnacentral:lncRNA from 1 species